rnacentral:rRNA from 1 species
UACAGAGGUCUCAAGCGUUUGUUCGGAUUCAUUGGGCGUAAAGGGUGCGUAGGUGGCGCGGUAAGUCGGGUGUGAAAUCUCCGGGCUUAACCCGGAAAGGUCAGCCGAUACUGCGGGGCUAGAGUGCAGAAGGGGCAACUGGAAUUCGUCGGUGGUAGCGAUGAAAUGCGUAGAUGAUCGGGACGGAACACCGGUGGCGAAGGCGACGAUCC